UCUCUUCAAUACUUGGAAUUGAGGUGCUGUAUGGAAUUAGAAUGUUUACCUGAAGGAAUGCAGUAUCUGAAGUCACUUCGGACACUUGUCCUGAAGCACUGUGAUAGUCUUGUCUCAUUGCCACGGAGCCUGAAAUUCCUAAGCAAGUUAGAACACCUUGAAAUAGUUGGUUGCCUUCGAAUCAAUUUGAAAAUGGAACUAGAAGAGGAAGAAAAAGACCUUCAGUUGAGCCUUAAAACUCUCUCUCUCACUCUUCGUAUUACCUGCCUUAAGAGAUUUGCCACGAUUGCUUCUUCAAGGAUCUUCUUCCACUUUGCAGCAAUUACGAAUUCAGUUUUGUCAAAACUUGUCCGUUCUACCAGCAUGGCUACCGAAUCUCACUUCUCUUCAAAAACUUGAGAUUUUUAAUUGCUUUAAUUUGUGGGAUCUACCGGAGGGAAUAGACCGCCUCACCAACCUUAGAGAAUUGAGAAUUUACGGAUGUCCGGAGUUGAGCAAAAGAUACAGAGAAAAUGGGGGUGAAGAUUGGCACAAAAUUGCUCACAUCCAAAAGGUUGUUAUUUGCUAAUGAAGAAUGAGGUAUGUGGUAAAAUUUUAAUUUCUCUAUCAGAUUCGAUUCCAUAUUAUCUUUCAGUUGUAAUUCUAAGAAGUGAGCUGUUGCUUUGGAUAUGUAUCAACUUUUAGCUUUAUGCAUAUUUACCUUUUCUCUUUAUGGUUUAGCAUCAACUAAUUGUGUUUGUAUUUUUUAGUUUAAUUUUAUUAAUUGUUUAUUUUGUGAUGGAGAAAUGAUGCGGUUGUUAUAAAAUUGCGUAGUAGAGUUGAGAAAUGACAAGAAAGAAAAUAAAACAUUUGAAAAAAAUGUACACAUCUCUCUCUUAUUCUCUCUCCAUUCACCAUUCCAAUUUGAAAGAAAUAAUUUUUCAAAAAAAAGUACCGAGGAUCUACACACUAUGAAAGUAUCCACAUUCGCAUUGGUUUUUUCUGAAGAUUGAACACAAUUUAGUUAGUUCAGUUGGAACAAAUUGCCGUUAUUUUUGAGUUUGUCUUAAUAUAUAUAAAAGUAAGAAUUUAAUUUUUUUUUGAAUCACGAUAACAUCCUUUAAUGUUCAUUUAAUUACUAAAUAAACAUUAAAUAAAUAAUUCAUUUUUCUAAAAAAAUAAUAGAAUUUUUCUUCAUUUGAACUAUAUGGUUAAAAAUAUUAGAUAAAAUCAUAUCAAUAAUUCUUUUUUAUAAUAGAGUUCUUAUUGAUUUGAGUUACACAGUUGAGUGUAUUAAUUAUUAAUAAUAUAUAUUAUUUUAAAUCAAUUAUCAUUUAAUUAGUGUUACCUUUAGCAUGGAAUAAAUGGUUAGUUAGCUAAUCAGCAUUUGAAUCAUUGUUCACUAAAAGCAGUACGAAAGAACUGAACUUUACCGCAGCUGGCUUGUAGAUGCCAACAAUAGCUCCCAAGGUAACCUGUUCAUUAAAUUAUAGUUAUAAUGUAAAAUUCAAUACAAAAUGCAGAGAGUUUUAUCGAAUAAACUAAGAAAAUCAACACACACCCACACUGGGAAAAGAGUUGUCGAAGUUUCAAUUAUUCUCUCGUACUGGUUCAUCCCUUUCGGUGUCGGACUAUCUCCGGAAACAUUAGCAGCAGCCUUGCACUUAACUUUGGAGUUCCUGGAUAUAAAGAUCAUAUUAGCAAGCAAAUCCAUGAAUUGGAGCUAAAAUGACAUGAACUACCAACUUCAUAUGUUGCUCAGAAUCUUCAUUUCCCCUAAAUCACCCCUACACUCAAAUCGGACAUGUAUUGGAUAUAAGUAUGGGAGUAUGAUACCACAAAUAUAUGGGAAAAAUUAGAAAAAAAGUGAGCAUAUUUGGGCAUAUACUCAUACGUGAAACUCACCUUCCAGUCCACGUAGGUGAAGGGGCAAUAGUAAGAAAAAAAGGAAAAAAGGUAAAUGGGAAGUUUUAAACAAACAUGGGAGACAGGUUAACAAAAAUCAAGCUAGCGACCUCACAAGGUUCCUGAAGGCAAACUACUUCACUAACCAACAAUUUGUUCUUUUUAACAGUCAACUCUAUGAUUGUUGAAUCAGCCAGAUUUACUUCCUUGGGAUGAUCAAAGCAAUGAAUUUAACAGUGAAAAAUGCAGUCUCGAGAUUUUAUAAGAAAGAAAUCGCAUUUAAUCAAACACCUUGUGCUCAAAAAACUACCUUGAAUCUAGAAUAAUGGAGGAAGGGGCUAAAAGAGCAGCAAGGGGACUAUUUGGCUUGCUUUGCAUUGACCAACCAUUUCCAUACAAAGAAAUCCCAGCUCUAACAUCUGAAAACUUCACAUUCAAAGAAAAUAAGAAAAAAAUCACAAACAAAUCCAUUGGAUAAACAAUAAAAAAUGAAGUCAAAUCAACAAAGACAAAGCAAAGUUACCUAGCUAAGCUGACAGUACCCUUCUUCCAGGAAUCAAGACCAUGGUCUUCUACGUAUUACAGCUUCAUAUACAUGCAGAUUGGUAUCUGUGACGACAAAUCUAGACAAAGCUGCCAUCGUUAAAAGACAAAAUAAGGAGGUAUAAUCUAAACAAGACACGAUUUUCAAGGGGUUAUAUUUGAUUUCAAGCGUUGAAUUAUGAAGGUUUUUUUAAAAUUAAACCGAGGUAUACAAGAAAAUGGGAUCAAUCCCAACGGUAUCGGUUAAGUCAUCAUCUUGUUGCUGCUGUCUUCUGGUUUUCCCUGUUGACAAUUUCAGUGAUAUUUUUGUCGUUAGGUGAACUUGUGAGACCGACGAUUAAACCGGAAAUAUGUUCUGCUGUUUCUGAUAUGGUGAAAUACUGUUAUUAGUCCUUUUAAUAAGCAUAACUUGUGGAUUUAGUCCAAAUACUUUAAUUUGGUCAGUUUUAGUCCCACAGUUUUCCAAUUGAUCAAUUUUACUUUAGUCUAUUUAGUUAAAUUAUGUUAUUAGUCUUGCACUAUGCGUAAGGUCGUAGAUUUAGUCUACUUCUCUAAUUUGAUCAUUCUUAGUACCUAAAAUUUUUGAAUUUUAAAGUUUCAAUUUUGACGCAAAUAACAACUAUUAAAGUCCUUAAUAAACUUUUUUGUGAAUAAUAUGUGGAAAUGCGAUAAUAUGUUUAACACAUAAGGUUUUAGAAAUAGCAAAACUUAAUGAAUUUAACAUCUAUUGUUUGAUCAGGACUAAAAUAUUAAAAUUCAAAAGUACAAUGACUAAAAAUGACCAAAUUAAAGUAUAAGGAUAAAAUUCAUGACUUAUAUAUAGUAUAGGGACUAAUAACAAAAANNNNNNNNNNNNNNNNNNNNNNNNNNNNNNNNNNNNNNNNNNNNNNNNNNNNNNNNNNNNNNNNNNNNNNNNNNNNNNNNNNNNNNNNNNNNNNNNNNNNNNNNNNNNNNNNNNNNNNNNNNNNNNNNNNNNNNNNNNNNNNNNNNNNNNNNNNNNNNNNNNNNNNNNNNNNNNNNNNNNNNNNNNNNNNNNNNNNNNNNNNNNNNNNNNNNNNNNNNNNNNNNNNNNNNNNNNNNNNNNNNNNNNNNNNNNNNNNNNNNNNNNNNNNNNNNNNNNNNNNNNNNNNNNNNNNNNNNNNNNNNNNNNNNNNNNNNNNNNNNNNNNNNNNNNNNNNNNNNNNNNNNNNNNNNNNNNNNNNNNNNNNNNNNNNNNNNNNNNNNNNNNNNNNNNNNNNNNNNNNNNNNNNNNNNNNNNNNNNNNNNNNNNNNNNNNNNNNNNNNNNNNNNNNNNNNNNNNNNNNNNNNNNNNNNNNNNNNNNNNNNNNNNNNNNNNNNNNNNNNNNNNNNNNNNNNNNNNNNNNNNNNNNNNNNNNNNNNNNNNNNNNNNNNNNNNNNNNNNAUUGAUCCAUUUAGUAGUAAAAAAACUAAUUUGAUCAUGUAUCAAUGAUAGAGGGGCCUCUUAAGUACAUUCACCGGCUAAAUAGUACCAUGUAAUAAUAGUCUUGUGUAAUUUUUAAUAGAUUUGUCUAAGGGUUGGAUUACUCAUCUAAAUUUAAAGUCUUGUUCGAUAUUUAGGAGUAGGGAUGUUCAAAUUUCGGUUAAAAUCAAAUUAACCUUCCGAACCGAUCUAAUUUGAUUAAUCUGUCAAUUAGUCGAUCUAAUUUGAUCGGAGGUCAAUUAAUAAUUUUUUGGAAGUUUGGUUAUCGGUUAAUUCAGUACGAAAUUAGGUAAUUAACCGAACUUAAUAAUUAAUAAUACAAAUUAUAUGUAGCUUUAAUUCAGUUAAAUAAACAUUAUCAAUUUGUUGUUUUUUUAUAUGUUUUAUACUUGUUUUAACCAAAAAUAAAAAAAAUAUAUAAGUUUUGGUUAAUUUGAUUAAUCGACCGAAUUAAUUGAAAGAUUUCAGUUCGGUUAACAAUUAAAUGAUUAAAAAGUUCGAUUAAUUCGAUUAAUACUAAUUCAGUUCGGUUAACCGUUUGAACACCCCUAUUUAGGAGAUUUUGAACAAAAAAUUUAAGUUCAAAAAAAUGAGCUUCACAAAAGAAUAAUAAAAUUAAAAUAUGAGUUGAGUUUGGACUCUAACAUUUAAGGCUCUAGUUUGACUUAGUCCAAUCUAUUUUUAGAUAUUGUCAUAUAUUUUGUAAUUUAUAAUAUAUAAUUUUAAGUUGUUUCUAUUUAAAAUUUUAAUAAAAUAAAAAAAAUUCUUAAAUAUUUAACAAAAAAAUAAACUUUAUAAAAAUUAAAAAUAACUUGGGUGGGUCUAGGCGAAGCCACAAAAUAUUGUUGGAAGGUCGAAAUUAAUUUGUAUAUUUUUAUGAUAAUAAAAUACAAUUUUACCAUUUAAUAGUCCAUAUCUUUAUAAUAUUUAAACAAUUAAAUUAAAUAUUUAUAUUUUUAAAUCACUAAUGUAAAAAUUUACUAUUGAUGCGGCCUUAGGACCUGAUGAGCAGAGCUGGUGUGGCGAAUCCCAAGGUCCGCCGAGCUUCGACUAGUGAGGAAUCAACGUAGCAACAACGCCAACCAACACCCUUGUGAGCAAGGGAGAGGAGAAGCACUUCAAGCCAAAAAGAAACAACAAAAGAGACCCAAGAGGCGGUUGAAUAACCAAAGCAUGGGAUGGGCAAACAAAUGUUGGUGAAUUAAUUAGACACUAAAUUAAGAAAUUAUUAAAAGUUUUUUUUUUAAUUACAAAGGGCAUUUUUAUCUCUUUACUUUUUUAUAUAUAAAAUCUAUAAAAAAUAACUUAAAAUAAAUUUAUAAAAAAAUACUUAAAAUUAAGACACCAUGGCAUUUAAAGUUAUACCAUUUCAACAAAAAUUAAAAUGAGGUUUUCUCAUCAAACAACAAUUCAAUAGAGUUAAACCGAAAUACAUAUUAAAAAAUAAACCUUCCUAAUUUCUCUUUAAUUAAUCGAAGUGUAAGGGAAAUGAAUUAACUCAUAAGAACUGAUAGUUAAGCUUAAGCAAUACAGCUUCACAAAGACCUAUAAAUAUUAAGAUGAAUAAAUUGGUGAAAUAUAAGUCCAUUCUCCAUUAUUUUCUUUUGAUAUCUUCACCAACUUAAAACAUUGAAAAAUAUUUCAAAGAAUGAGUGUGAUAUUUGGUAAUAAUUUUAUAGGGUUGCAACCCACCAACAUUGUAACCUACUACAAGUAAAUCCCAAUAACUUUUUAUAAAUAUACAUUCACCUUAAUUUUUCUCACAGUUUAAGAGUAAAUAAAUGAAAAAUAAACCAAGUGGCGACGAAUGAAACAGACCAUGGCAGUAACGAAGAGCGGCUGUCAAAUGCUAGUUAUUACUGAUUGACGAGGUCUUGAAUCGCCUGUUAAUCACAAUUAUUAUAAAUCAAGUGAUAAAUCGGGUCUUAUAAUUAAAAAUAUAAUAAGAACGAAAAUGAUAAUUAUAAAAUAUAAAAUCAAAACGUGUACAUUGUUGUACUUUAUAAUUAUAAAAUGAUAACAAGGAAUACUUAUAUUUGAAUGUAUGACAUAUGCCAUCUAUUUUUUUCAUCUAUAAAAUGGAUGGGAUUUAUUAACUUAACCCAAUUUUAUAUUUUUAAAAAUUAAUACUUAUCAUAUAAGUAGUAAUAUUUUUGGAGGCCACUGAAUACAAUGCAGCUGUCUUUAAAGUUAAAACAGUUCCCUUCCACAUUACGUUCCUCUUUCUUUUAUGGGUUCUCACCGGAAAAUCGUUUCCGGUUCCGACUAGCCACCGAAGGAAACAACGGCAACUUAAAAGAAAACCAUUUCUUUCCUCAUUGUUUUACUACUAAAAUCCCAUCAUGCCGGUCGUGAAUUUUGUCUGUGUUUUUUUAGUUUCAGUUGUGAUGUUUAAUUCGAGAGUAAGCUCAGAACCGGUUGAAGACAAGCAAGCUCUACUUGCUUUCAUUUCGGGAAUUAGACAUGCCGACCGGGUUAAAUGGAAUUCAUCGACCUCAGCCUGUGAUUGGUUCGGUGUUCAAUGCGAUGCCAACCGGUCUUUCGUCUACACUUUACGGCUCCCCGGUGCGGCCCUCAUCGGUUCGAUUCUGCCCAAUACAAUCGGUCGGUUGAACCGACUUCGAGUUUUAAGUCUACGAGCAAACCGUUUGUCCGGUGAGAUCCCUGCCGAUUUCUCCAAUUUGACUCAGCUCCGUAGCCUUUAUUUGCAAGGUAACGAGUUCACCGGUCCGUUCCCACCUAGUGUGACUCGUUUAACUCGUUUGACUCGCCUUGAUCUUUCUUCUAAUAAUUUCACCGGUCCAAUUCCUUUGGGUGUCAACAGUUUGACUCAGUUGACCGGACUCUUCUUGCAAAAUAACAAGUUUUCCGGUUCUCUCCCGAGCAUCGACUCGGACGGUUUAAACGAUUUCAAUGUGUCUAACAACAACCUUAAUGGUUCAAUUCCCGAUUCGUUAUCUAAAUUCCCCGAAUCUUCAUUCGCCGGAAACAUUGGGCUUUGCGGCGGUCCACUCCCGCCAUGUAACCCAUUUCCUCCAUCUCCAUCUCCGACCGAGCCCAUUCCGCCCACAACUUCCGGUCAAAGCUCGAAAAGCCUUCCCACCGGCGCCAUCAUUGCCAUUGCCUUGGGGUCAGCAAUUGUUGCGUUACUGUUAUUACUAUUCCUCAUUAUCUGCCUCCGUAAAUGGAAACGGAAGUCACCAAGGCGGCAGAAGGCGAUACCAUCGACGACACAUGCAAGUCCGGAGGAGGAGGCGGGGACUUCCUCGUCGAAAGAUGAUAUAACCGGAGGCUCAAUGGAAAUCGAAAGGAUGAUGAAUAAUAAGCUCGUGUUCUUCAAAGGUGGCGUUUACAGUUUCGAUUUGGAGGAUUUGAUGAGGGCGUCGGCUGAAAUGUUGGGAAAAGGCAGCACCGGAACGUCGUACAAGGUGGUUUUAGCGGUGGGGACCACGGUGGCAGUUAAACGGUUGAAAGACGUGGCAGUUAGUAAACGAGAGUUCGUAAUGAAGAUGGGAAUGUUGGGUAAAAUCAUGCAUGAAAACGUGGUUCCUUUGAGAGCGUUUUAUUAUUCCGACGAGGAGAAAUUGCUGGUUUAUGAUUACAUGCAUGGUGGUAGCUUGUUUGCGCUGCUUCAAGGUAAAUUAUUUCAUUAUUUUGCUCCUUGCGGCUCAUAUUUGAAAAGAAAAAAAAAUAGGUAUUUUUUGAGCUUAUUAUUAUUUUUAAAAUUAAAAAAUGUAUUUUUUAAUAAUUUAAUAAUAAAAUAAUUACUUUAUAUUAAUUAAAUAUUCUAGUAUCUGUGUCAUAUAUAUAUUAUCAUACUUCAUAUUCUCUUAAUUAUAAGUUCAAGUGAGUAAAUUUUUAAUUAUAAUGUAAUAACUUUAUAGGUAGCAGAAACUCGGUUCGUACACCGUUAGAAUGGGACCACCGGAUAAAAAUAGCCCUAAGCGUGGCUAGAGGCCUCGCGCACCUCCACAGUUCACAAAACAUGAUCCACGGCAACAUUAAAUCUUCCAACAUCCUUCUCCGACCAGACCACGAAGCCUGCAUCUCAGAGUUUGGUCUUAACUCUCUUUUCAACACCAACACUCCACCUAGUCGCAUCGGGGGUUACCAAGCACCUGAAGUAAUUCAAACCCAUAAAGUUACGGUGAAAUCAGACGUUUAUAGUUUCGGGGUGUUAUUAUUGGAAUUAUUAACCGGUAGGGCACCAAUCCAACCAUCAAUAACUGAAGAAGGGUUUGAUCUUCCGCGUUGGGUCCAAUCCGUGGUUCGGGAGGAAUGGGCCGCCGAGGUGUUUGACGCAGAGUUAAUGGCAUACCACAACAUCGAGGAAGAAAUGGUGCAAGCGUUACAGAUUGCAAUGGUUUGUGUCUCAACAGUGCCCGAUCAAAGACCCGUCAUGUCGGAAGUGGCACGUAUGAUCGGAGAUAUGAUCGAUAGAGGGGGAACAAAUGGCGGUACGGCAGCCGCCAUAUGAUCCGCUAAACAAUGAAACAAAAUUCAAAGUGUGUUGACCUUGAGAAGCCAACAAUGGAGUUGAAAGUUUCAAUUAAAAAAAAAAAUCAAUUCCAUUUGCAGGCCAUCUAUAAAACGUUAAAUGCUUGUAUUUGAUUUAUUUUAAUUAAUUAAUUAAUUUUUUUUAAUUGAGAGUUGGAAAGGUCGGCUAAUGUACAAAGUGGAACCCCGGUCGUGCACUGGUUGAUGGGUGAUUACUGAUUAGUUCAUGAUUUUAUUAUUUUAACACUUAAUUAAUCUAAUUAGAAUCUGUUUCAAGGAUGGAAUCAACACCGUUCAAGACCAGAUCAGAGGCCUGGAGAUGUUACGCGUGGCGAAAUGGUGAGCUGGCUAGGCCGGCUUUUUGUCUUUUUCUUUUAUUUAAUUUCUAGAAAAAAAGAAAUGUGAAACAAAAUAGGGUGGAGGGGAAAUUUGAAAAAAUAAAAUAAAAAUCUAUUUUUUGUGGUGUUCAGGUUACUUUUUAUUUAAUUUAGAUGGAUUUCAGUUUUUUUUUAUUUAAAAGAUGAAUACUAUAAUUAAUUGAAUAAAGUCGAAUACAUUCGAGUAUCAAUUUAUAUAAAUUAUAAGUGAUUUUUUUUUCAAAUUUUAUUUUAAUUUGAGUUUCAUCAUAUUAUAUUUAUUCUUAUUUAAGUAUAUUCUAAUUUAAGUUUAGUUGUAUUUUGUAAUGGUUUAUCGUGAUUAUAGCUAUCCAGGUGUGUAUUGUUUAUAAUUAUAAUUUUAUUUGUAUUUAUAAAUUUUUUAAAAAUGUGUUUAAUUGCAAUUGCAAUUUCAAAUAUAUAUAUAAAUUAAUAUGUAUAUCUAAAAUAGUGAAAAAAAUCUUAAAUUUUUUCUUUCUUUUUACGCAAUUUGCUUCUUCUUUUUUGUUUUGUUUAGCAACAGUAUCAACAUUUUAGCUAGCUAUCGCUCGCCAUUUUUUUCCUCCCACCAACCCUCUCCGUCAUUUUUCUCCUCAUUCACUUUAUGUCGUGGCAGAGCCAAAAGGGGUUGGUAGGGACCCCGACCGCCUUAAAAUAGAAAAUUUUCUAUUUAGGCCCUUUAUAAUUUAUAAAAUUUUAAAUUAGUAAUAGUAAAAUUAUAAUUUAGCCCCCCAAAAAUAAUAAAAAUUUGAUUUAAUUCGUUAAAAAUUAUAAAAAUAAAUUAUUAAAAUGAUGAAAUUAUAUUUUUAUUAUCGUAAAAAUAUACAAUUUAAUUCUCACCCCCCAAAAAAUUCAUUUUGGCUCCGCCACUAACUCCAUGUAUCUUCUCUCUUUUUAGUUUGCAAAUAUAUUUUGUGGGUACCUUUAUUAUUUUCACAAGUUGUGAUGGACAAAUGAUGAUGCUUGUCGUUAUUGAAACUCCACCAGCCAUCAGCUGUUUCUCUUGAAAAGUAGGUAGCUCUUCCUUGGUUUCCUAAUCUUUUUCUAUUUUGAGAGGAUUUUAGAAUAAUAAAUGAUUUCAUGAGUUAAUUUGGACUCUUGUUGUCUUAAGUUUUAUAUAUUUUUUAUUUUUAUUAUUUUCCCUUGUUUAAUAAGUCUUCGCUUUUAAAAAUUGUUAUCAUCGUUAACAAAGUUUUGGCUUCAAGCAAAAUGUUAGAGCUAAUACGGAUAUAAACCACAAAAACACAUUAUGAACUCAAUAAAAAUUCAUAUAAUAUGAAUAUAAAAAUAUUUUAAACACAAUUAUAAGAUAAUAAAAUAUACUUAAUUGCUAAAUCUACGAAAUAGAAACAUAAAUAUAUUUUGAGCUUUUACAAGGAUUUAACUUUUGUGUGAUUCAUGAAAAAAAAACCUUAUAACCGAAACCUCAAUCCAAUUAAUUUAUGCAUUUAUCUAUAAUGAAUAUAUUUUAAUCUCAUUUCGAAUUUUAAUAUUAUUUUUAUAAUAUUUUUAUCCAAAUUAAAACUUUUUUUAAAAUAAAUAGUUGUCUAAAAUAGCCAAAUAGGCAUAUUGGGCAUUGGAUUCUGCAUAUACAACUGGGUAAUUUAUUCCCAUUACAACUCACCUAAUCUUUGUGUUUUUCACCCCACAAACACACUUCACCUAAACUCUUUUAAGGUGCCAUAUAACUUAGGCUUUGGCAUAUAUAUAUACAUUAUUUUAUAAAUAUGUUUAGUUUGAAGUAAAUAAUAAUUUUUUUAUGUAAAAAAAUUCAUCCGUUAAAUAUAUAUUAAUAUAAACAUUAUUUUAGAUUAUUAUGAUAGAGACAUCGGAUUAAUUCAAUAUUUUAUAUGUAUGACGAGUAUAAUUAUAACAUGAAAUUCAACAAUUAGAUUCUUAAAUGAUCAAUCAUAAAAAAAAAGUUAUUUAAGGGUGUAACCAUGUUAAUUUUAUAUUAAUGUAAUUGCAGCCAUGUAUACACUCAAUAAUAAUUUUCCAUGUUGUUGGUUAUUGUGUUAAUUUUGUUAGUACAAUGUUUAAAAUACUUAUAAUUUUAUCUCAAACCUUUAAAAAUGAAAAAUAUCACGUGUUUAAACACAUUUGAGCUGAAGAACGUGACUAGAGGGAGCAAGUAGAUCAGUUUCAAUCCCUUAUCGAUAAUGAGUUACUGAUUUCGUCCCUAUCUGAACCCUCGUCCUUCAAAUUGUUACAAUAUCAAUAGUAACCCGAAUAAACAUUACAAAAAUCAUAUAUUUAAAAUAUAUUAGAAUAAUUAUGUUACCAUAAAUACACAUUGAAUGUGACCAUAUGAGUCAUUGAAAAUCUCACCAAUCUCAUAUUUGAUGUAAUUUAUGAUAAUUCAUUUAAAUCAAAUAAAAUGAGUGGAGGGAUUGAUUGAAACAAUAAUAAGGUGAAACACUGAAAAAGGGGAGGUGGUUGAACAUCAUCUAAUUCCUAAGAACAAAUUAAUAAAAUAUAAAUGUGAAUGAAUUAAUAUACAGAAAAAGCACAAAAUUACAGCCUAAACCAUUAAUCUCAAUUUGUCUUUUCAUUGGAUUUGGAUUUUAUUUUAUUCAGUUGUUUGAAUUUGGAUGCUAACUACAUUUCUUAAUAUAAUAUAUGACAUAAAUAUAAAAAAUAAUAAUGAAGAGCGGUUUAAUAUGAAUUAUUAAUAUAUUUAAAAUUUAUAAAUAUGUGUCGAUUGAGUCUUAAUUCGAUUGAUAUCGGUAUUGUUGUCAGUAUAAGAGAAUGUGCGUUAAAGCAUAUUAUCUCCUUGUUUAAGAGUUGGGGAAAGGCUGCAUGAGUUCAAGUUCUUUUAUAAUCUAAAUUUUUUUCAAUAAAUAAUGCUGAAAUUAGUUAAAGCUGUUUUGUGGCAGUUGCAUUUAUAUAAAUCUAGAUAACUCAUUGUCCAGAUUCAUUCGAUAUGAGCGUAAAAGUUAAAACCAUAAAAAAAUUAAAAAUUAUAAAGAGGUUCAAAUAUGUAAAAUUAUAAAAAAUUAAUAAAAGCGCACAUUUAGAAUGAACCAGAGCCGUCCUCGAGUGUCUUCUUGUAGUGUUACAUGUUGCGCCGGGUGAGGGUAUAACAACACUAAUCAAUUAAAAUUAUGUAUAAUCGACAAAAAAUUUUUAUUGUGAUUAAUUUCUUUUAUUUUCUGAUUUUUAAAAUUGAUAGGGACUAAAUUGCUCAAAAUUAUUGAGAAGGACCAAUUUUCUUAAUAUCAAAAUUGAGAGGGAGUGGAGAGAUGUUUUUACCAAUCUACAUAAAGCCUUUCAGUAUAGUGAAAUUUAUGUUCACUUGUGAGUUUGGUCAUCAGGCGUUUGUAGUCCAACGGUUAGGAUAAUUGCCUUCCAAGCAAUAGACCCGGGUUCGACUCCCGGCAAACGCAUUUGAAUUUUUACCUUCUUUCCGUUUCCUCCGAUGGAAUGAAGGUGGUAACUGAUGAGUUUGCUAAAAGAGACAUUUGUGAUAUUCAACAGAGUUUGCUAAAUUCUGUAGUAUGACCCCCGACCUCUACACACCUAACCUUUUAACAAUUUCUCCUUUUUUUUAUUCAUCAAAGCUUCACCAUUUAAUUUCUCUAAGGAGAGAGAUGAAAAAAAAGUAGGGAGUGUGAAAAAGGUUGAAUGAUUUACGUCAUAAUUUUUAAAUGUAAACAUCAUAUGAAUAAAAUAAUAGUUGCUCCUACUCUUUAUAUUUCUUUAGUAUCUUAAUAAAUAUUCAAAUAUGUAAUAAGUCUUUAAUAAGUUAUGUGUUAUGGUUUUAGAGAAGAGCCAUGAAUGGAGUUGAUUUUGAGAUAUAAGUGUUUAAACCACUUUCAACUUAUAAGUUGCUUUUUGCGGAUAAAAUUAUAAAGUAAAAAGUUUAAAGCUAAAAAUAUAUCUUCCAUCAUAACACUGUAGAAUAAAGUUAUCUUUAGUAUAAAUUUUUUCUCUAUUUUCAAUACUUUUGUGGUAAGUUGGUAUUAAGAAUGAAAAUGACAUUAAAUCAGACAAAUACCAUAUAUGAAAUGAAGCAAUAAAGAAUAUCACAAAUUGUGUUUAAUAGUGAAAAGGGCUACCUAUGUUUUUAGAUUAAGAUACUUUCAAAGUUUAAGGGAUAGUAGAGAUUUCAUAAACCCUGGCACUCUUCUCUAGUGUGGCUCAAACAAAAAUAUGCUUCUAAGGUAUUUUCUCUAUCUUAAUUGCCUUCAUAAUCAUUGUUACCAUUCGAUUUGUCUAAUAUUGUUGAAUUGCAAGAUGACGGUUCGAUGACUGAUGAUUGAUAAAAAUAAAAACUCCCUUGUGAUAGCGUGAAAAGAAGGCAAAUAAAUCGUUUCGAUAGUGAUUCUUGCCAAAUAUGCAAAUGCCCAUGAAUAUGCAGCCAAAGCAAAAGCAGAAGUUUUCAUUUUUCUUCGAGUACGUCUAUCCUUUAUAUAACUAUACAACUAUGCUCUUUUAAGUAACUACUAAUCUCUGUGUACCUAGUGGCAAAUCUAGGGAGGUUGGCAAGGCACUUGCCCCAUAAAAUGUAAAAUUUUUAUUUAGUCUCUUAAUUUUUAAAAAUUUUAAAUUAGUAAAGAUAAAAUUACACUUUACCCCUCUAAAAUUAUAAAAAUUCAAUUUAAUCUCUUAAAAAUUGUAAAGAUACUAUAAAAAAUUAAAAUUUCAUUCAGCCCCCAAAAAGUUGUUCUAGCUUCGCCCCUGUCUGUACCAUCCAUUAGCUAAUCUUUCUUCUUCUUCUUCUUCUUUUUUUUUGAAAUUUCAGUUUUGAUUGAAAUCAUUAAAUUUAUUAAAUUAAAAUUUAUUAUUUCUAAAAUUUUAUGCGACAAAUAUAUUAUAAGAUGUAUAAUAUCAUGCCAAUUUCUUAUUUUCACAUAAUACUCACAAAAGACGUCAUUAUUUUAAUUUUAUGGAUUUAACAACUAUCGUUUGAGCUAUGAUUAAAAUUUCAAAAUUCGAAAAGUAUAGAAACUAAAUAUGAUCAAAUUGGAGAAAAGAAACUAAAUCUAUAACUUAUACAUAGUACAAGACUAAUAGCAAUAUUGAAGUUGAAUUACAAUCAUUUCUCAUCUCAUUUGUUACGAUGUCUUACCAUUUUGUUCUUGUAAAAGAAGGAUGAAAUAUGAUCCUCUAGAGACCCUACUGAAUACAUGAGAAAACUUGAAAGGAUUAGUAUUCAACACUUAAAUCCAAAUCUUGAAUAAUGUAACUAAUUAGAACAUGAAUUAACGUCUUUACCGUGUCAAUACCAAUCAAGUUAUAACAUAAGGUUUUUUUAUAAUAUUUUUUCUCUCCCUUUUACAUUAAUAUUAGAUAAAUCCUUGAAGUAAGUUUGAUAUUGAAUAAGAUAAGGUUUUUUAUUAUAUUAAUUAAUGUAAUCAAUAGAAUAAUCAUAUCGUUUAUCUUAUUAAAGUUUCUUGCCAUUGCAAUGUCAAUCUCGGUAACCACCUAGAUUAUAGCAUCUUUAAUCACAACUUUGUCGCCUUCAUCGUACGGUUCACGUUCAAGAACAUAAAAAUCAAGCACUUCACCAAUCAAUAGUAGCUGUUGAGAUGUAAACCGGUAGUUCACCCCUCAAUUUAUAUCCUCAAAUUAGAAUAUUAAAGUUGGCUAAAAUUUUUUAUGCAUUUUUUUUUAUGAAAACAACUUAUUGAAAUCGAAUCGAUGAUUAGAUUUAUUAUAUAUCGAUGGAUUCUCGAUGUAUCUGAUUGGUACAGCUUUCAAAACACUAAACUUGAGUAAUAGGUAAGGUUAUGAAAGAAAAAAAGAGAGAAAAGCAAAGAAAUUAAAGAAAUUAAAUUCACCGGGUACCGGUUACACUAGACUUUUAGGGUCCUGUUGUUUGCCUCUUUCAUUCUCUUUAAAAAUGAGUCCUAAAAUCAAAUACAUCAACGGGAGGCUAGGCGAACUUGCCACUGAGUGGAAAAGCUUUGAUCUAAGACAGUAUAGCGACAACCGACAUGUUUUUCGCAGAGAGACUAUCUCUUUUGUGCAUUCUUCUGAUGUUAUUGGUAGAGAUGAGGAUAAAGAGAACAUAAUUAGUAUGUUGAUGAAACAAAGUGAGGAUCAAAAUGUCCCUGUCAUUCCCAUUGUUGGACUUGGGGGUUUAGGAAAAACCACGCUCGCUCAAUUAGCAUUCAAUGAUGAUCGAGUUACUAGCCUUUUUCCUUUGAAGAUAUGGAUCUGUGUUUCUGAGGAAUUUGAUCUUUCUAGAUUGCUCAAGCUGAUUAUUCAGUCUGUAAAUAAAGGAGAAAGAUGUGAUGAUUCAACACUUGACGCCUUGCAAGCUCGUUUGAGAACCUUUUGAAUGAUAAGAAGUUCUUGCUCGUCCUGGAUGAUGUGUGGAAUGAAAAUAAAGCAAAAUGGGUUGAGUUAAGAAAUUUGUUGAGAUCGACGGAUGGAUUUUCUCCAAACAAAAUUAUUGUCACCACUCGGAGUUUGAACGUGGCCUCGAUAAUGAGUUCAAUUCCCCCUUAUAUAUUGAAAGGUCUCCCCCUUGAAGACUGUUUGACCUUAUUUACAAAAUGGGCUUUUAAUGAUGGUGAUGAGAGACAUUAUCCAAAUCUCAUUAGAAUCGGGGAGGAGAUUGUGAAAAAAUGCAAAGGGGUUCCUUUGGCAGUAAGAACAUUGGGAAGCCUACUAUUUCAGAAAACGGAUGAAUCUGAUUGGAUCUAUAUACGAGAGAGUGAAAUAUGGAGACUUGAGCAACAUGAAAACGAUAUUUUACCAGUGUUGAAGUUGAGUUACAAUCAUUUGCCAUCUCAUUUGCAACGAUGUCUUGCUUUUUUGUCCUUGUACAAAAAGGAUGAGAUCUAUUAUAGUGAUAGAGUUAUCUGUCUUUGGAUGGCAAAUGGACUCCUUGAGCAUCCAAAGCAAAAUCAAGAGUGGGAGGAUGUUGGCAAACGAUAUUUGAAUAAAUUACUAUCAAGGUGCCUCAUCCAAAAGGAGGAGGAUUUUCACUUGAAGUUUACCUUCAAAAUGCAUGAUCUGGUACAUGAUCUUGCAUUAGCUGUGUCUCGAAGAGAGUGUAAAAUAAUGAAUUCCAAAACAAAAACGGUUGAUGAAAAUGUUCGACAUCUGUUUUUAUGUGAUGAGAAGUUGGUUGAAGUUCCGCGUGUUUUGGAGAAAUUGGAAAAAGUUCAAACAGUAAUCGUCCAAGAUAGUUCACUAAGAUCAAAGAUUUUUGAUAAAUCUCUUAUAAAUCUUUGUGUCUCCAAUUUCAAGUAUCUACGAGCAUUAGAAUUAAGAGAUUCACUACUGACAGCUUUACCGAAUUCCAUUGGUAACUUGAAGCACUUACGAGAGCUUGACUUGGCCCGAUCUGAGGAUAUACGUGAACUUCCAAGGUCUUUUUAUAAGCUUUACUGCUUGCAAUCGUUAAAUUUGGGAGCUACUAGUUUGAAGCAGUUGCCCGACAGCGUGCAAAGGUUGAUUGAGCUUAGACAUCUUGUAAUAACCAUUGAAGCUAAGCAUUUGAAAGAAAUACGAGCAGGAUGUUGGACUUCUCUUCAAUACUUGGAAUGUAUAACUGUUUCGAAUUAGAAUGUUUACCUGAAGGAAUGCAGUAUCUGAAGUCACUUCGAACACUUCUCGUGAGUUACUGUCAUAGUCUUGUCUCAUUGCCCCGGAGCCUGAAAUUCCUAACCAAGUUAGAACACCUUGAAAUAGUGAGGUGCCUUCGAAUCAAUAUGAAAAUGGAACUAGAAGAGGAAGAAGACAAAGACCUUCAGUUGAGCCUUAAAACUUUCUCACUCUUCGGAUUACAUGAAUUAAGAGAUUUGCCACGAUUGCUUCUUCAAGGAUCUUCUUCCACUUUGCAGCAAUUACGAAUUAGGGGGUGUCCAAACUUGUCCUUUCUACCAGCAUGGCUACCGAAUCUCACUUCUCUUCAAAAACUUGAGAUUGCUAAUUGCAUAAAUUUGUCAGCUCUACCGGAGGGAAUAGACCGCCUCACCAACCUUAAGGAAUUGAGAAUUUACGGAUGUCCGGAGUUGAGCAAAAGAUACAGAGAAAAUGGGGGUAAAGAUUGGCACAAAAUUGCUCACAUCCAAAAGGUUGAUAUUUACUAUUGAAGAAUAAGGUAUGUGGUAAAAUUUUAAUUUCUCUAUCAGAUUUGAUUUCAUAUUAUCUCUCCCUUUUAUAUGUUUAAUGUUCGUUAAGUACUCAUUGUGUUUGGAAACAUUGCAUGUGUGAAAUGUGAAGAUGGAGAUGGAUGAAUGAAGCUAAGGGUGAGGCUUUUACUUUAUUUGCAUUCAGAUUUCACAGUUGAGAGUUGUAAUUCUAAUUACUGAGCUUUUUAUUUGGAUAUUUCAAAUGCCUUCAUGCUAUGGAUUGUAAUGUAUAAAAUUUUAUGCAUAUUUAUGUAUUCUCAUGGUUGGUUUGUCUUUAUAAUUUAGUAUAUAGAUAAAUUGGUUAUCCAAUUAUAAAAAAGUUACAAAAUGUAUGAGGUGCUAAAUUGGUACAUUUUGAUUUGGUAAUUAUAACUAUAGCAUUGGUAGGUUUUUGAGCAGGUUUAUAAUCAUCAAAAUGUAUCUUAGCUCACUUCCAAAUCUUGAUUUUGUAAUAAGCAUCAAAAGAUUUAUUUUUGAGCUACACAGUUUAGCACAUAGCUGUUCGUUACACAUGGGUUGAUGAUACGAUCAUGUGAGCUAUAGAAAUUAAGAUUCUUUUGAACCACACAGUUUUCGCUUGUCACACGGGCUAACGGCAUGCCUAUGUAGGUACUGUAGGUUAAGUUAUAUAAUUUGUACACGGUCACAAUUAAUUAUACAGUUUAAUCACACGGUUACAUAGAAUAAUUUAAUUAAAUCAAUAAUUAAUUGAUUAGUUCUAUAAUUUAAUCAAUUCAAGUAUCUGACUCAAUUUGUAAUGAGAGGAAUUUACAAGAUUACAAUCAUCAAUAGAGAAAUAUACAACUGAUAAAUACUCCUAAAAUUACUUAUACACCAUGACAUAUACAUUCAUAUAUCUGAUCGAUUCAAUAAUGGUUUUAUGAUUAAUCAUAUAUUUUUAAAUUACUUGUACAUCACAUUAAUUCUACAUAAAUUACUUGAUUUACAGUUUAUUUUAAUUUAAUAUAAUAUUCUGAAAAGUUUCAAAAAUAAUAAAUGAUAAAUAAUAUUAAACUUGGUAUGAAAAGUGAUAAUACAUCCAAUUUACAUGUUUAUCACGCUUAAUUUUGAUAAAUUCUUGAAUGAGAUGCUACUAAUUUUGGACCUAUUUUGAUUUUUGAUUAGGUGCAAAAGCAAACCCGAAAAGUUAAAAGAGUCAAAAAUGUAAGCGGUUGUAAAAGUUUUGAGCCAAAGAACGAAUUAAUGGAUAAUGAUCUAUUUUAAAAACUUUUAUUUUUGGAUUUAUUUGAAAAAUAAAUACUUUUAAUUUUACUUUAUUUUUAAAUAACUCUUCAAUAUUAGAUUGAUGAGUAUAAGUAGAAUUAGGGUUUUAGGCGAGGUACAAGGAGGGAGAAUGGAAUGGGGAAUUGAACUUCCUUCCCUGUUCUCAAUUCUGUUUUAACUCUUUUCUUUACUUGUGUAUUAUUGCACCAUUUACCUUUUUGUUUUAAACUGAUAAUUAAUAACCCUAUAGAUAGCGGUGAGAUCUGAACCCGCAUUUCAAAACUUUCGUUUCAAUGUUUAUUGUUUUUGCGGUUUAGGAGAUAGACUUCAUAGUCUCACAAAAUUAUAUUGGCAUCAAAUUAAAAAGAGUUUGUUGAUUCAGUAUUGAUAGGCAUACAGUUAGAAAUACUGAGUUGAUCGUUUAUCAUAUUCAAUCUACUGAAGAACACAUUGACAUAUCCAAUUAAGUAGUUAGUUAGAUUCUGUUAGGAGGAAAUAGCAGUCAGUUUUGAAACUGUUGAGGCCAUUGGUUCAAGUUGGGUCAUUCUAGUUCGCAAGGUUAUCAGAGUUAAAUCGUGGAUUCGUGUUUCGUAGUUCUUCAUUCAAUAAAGGUUAGUUGUUAGACGUUCUUGCAAUAAAUUUACACAUACAAAGGUUAAUAGUUCAAGGCAUCCUCGAUUAUUAUAAUUAACUUAUCGAUCAAAGGAGAAGACUUGCUGUUAAAAUAUUUAUCGUAAAUUUAGUCAUAUAUAAACCCUAAAUAAAAUACUUCUUAUACAUAUUAAAGCCAAACCAUUUAUUUAUCCAACUUAUAUUUAUUUUGGUAAAAGAAGACUUAUAUUUAUUUACUUUAUUCCUAAAACUUCAAAGUUUCAAAAAGAGUCUUAAAUUUUAUUUUUCAACCAUUCCCCCAUUUAACCUAAAAAAAUCCUUCUCCAUCCAAAACAAACGCUUAACUAUGCAAAUAUUCAAAUUAUAUUACCAUAUAUAAUUUAUGAAUUUAAUUUAAAUAAUAUUUUUAAUCCACAUAUCGGUAAACUAUUAAAAUAGUUACCUUUUUUUAUUUCAAGUUACAUUUUAGUCACUUACGUUAAUAUUUUUUUACGAAAUCAUCACUCUGCCAUUACAUUUAAAUAAUAUUUUUAAUCCAUAUACCUUUUAAUGGGUAAACUAUCAAAAUAGUUACCUUUUUUUACUUCAAGUUACAUUUUAGUCACUAUUGUUUGAAAUGUUACAUUUUAAUCACUUACGUUAAUAUUUUUUUACAAAAUCAUCACUCUGCCGUUAAUACUCGUUAUUUCCCAAACAGUAGUCCAAUAUGACAGUUAAAAUAAAUUUUAAAUGUCAAAGGUAGAGUGACCAUUUUCUUCAUAAAACGAUAACAAAAGUAACCAAAAAUAACAUUUUAAACAUAAAUAAUUAAAAUAUAACCUAAAUCAAAUAAAAAUGUUUAUUUUUAAUUUAUCAACACAGCGUAGUUAAGUUCCACCCAAGUCAACUAUAAAGCCUAGUCAACAAUCAAAAGCAGAUAUUUGGCUGAACCACAACCACAAAAUUUGGUGCAUUGCUGCUUCGAUAUGAACAGAAAAAAAUAAAAUCAUUAUUGAGUGCCACAAUCAUUAAUUUGCCUUCCUUCCCCUCAAUCAUUCAAGCUUUGCUCUAUAAAUUCAAUUAUGGCGGAGUUUCUGUUCAAUAUUGCAGAAAGGGUUGUCGAGAAAAUUGUCGGUCUCACUGUAGACGAAGUUCGCUUGGCGUUGAAUGUCAAAACCGAUCUGAAAAAGCUGGAGGACACCAUGAUCAGCAUUAAAGCUGUGCUCUUGGAUGCCGAGCGGCAACAGCACCAAAAUGAAAAGCUGCGCCUCUGUAUGCGGAAGCUCAGAGACAUCUUUUACGAUGCUGAGGACGUUAUUGACGAUUUCAAGUGUGAAGCUCUCCGGAAACAGGACGCCAUCAAUCAUCCCGACAUCAACAACUUAAAGGUGCGAGUUUUAGGUUCCUGUUGUUUGUCUCUUUCAUUCUCUUUAAAAAUGAGUCAUAAAAUCAAAGACAUCAAUGGGAGACUAGGCNNNNNNNNNNNNNNNNNNNNNNNNNNNNNNNNNNNNNNNNNNNNNNNNNNNNNNNNNNNNNNNNNNNNNNNNNNNNNNNNNNNNNNNNNNNNNNNNNNNNNNNNNNNNNNNNNNNNNNNNNNNNNNNNNNNNNNNNNNNNNNNNNNNNNNNNNNNNNNNNNNNNNNNNNNNNNNNNNNNNNNNNNNNNNNNNNNNNNNNNNNNNNNNNNNNNNNNNNNNNNNNNNNNNNNNNNNNNNNNNNNNNNNNNNNNNNNNNNNNNNNNNNNNNNNNNNNNNNNNNNNNNNNNNNNNNAAUUUGAUCUUUCUAGAUUGCUUAAGCUGAUUAUUCAUUCUGUAAAUAAAGGAGAAAGAUGCGAUGAUUCAACACUUGACGCCUUGCAAGCUCGUUUGAGAAGCCUUUUGAAUGAUAAGAAGUUCUUGCUCGUCCUGGAUGAUGUGUGGAAUGAAAAUAAAGCAAAAUGGGCUGAGUUAAGAAAUUUGUUGAGAUCGACGGAUGGAUUUUCUCCAAGCAAAAUUAUUGUCACCACUCGGAGUUUGAACGUGGCCUCGAUAAUGAGUUCAAUUCCCCCGUAUAUUUUGAAAGGUCUCCCUCUUGAAGACUGUUUGACCUUAUUUACAAAAUGGGCUUUUGAUGAUGGUGAUGAGAGACAUUAUCCAAAUCUCAUUAGAAUCGGCGAGGAGAUUGUGAAAAAAUGCAAAGGGGUUCCUUUGGCAGUAAGAACAUUGGGAAGCCUACUGUUUCAGAAAACGGAUGAAUCUNNNNNNNNNNNNNNNNNNNNNNNNNNNNNNNNNNNNNNNNNNNNNNNNNNNNNNNNNNNNNNNNNNNNNNNNNNNNNNNNNNNNNNNNNNNNNNNNNNNNAAAUAUGGAGACUUGAACAACAUGAACACGAUAUUUUACCAGUGUUGAAGUUGAGUUACAAUCAUUUGCCAUCUCAUUUGCAACGAUGUCUUGCUUUUUUGUCCUUGUACAAAAAGGAUGAGAUCUAUUAUAGUGAUAGAGUUAUCUGUCUUUGGAUGGCAAAUGGACUCCUUGAGCGUCCAAAGCAAAAUCAAGAGUGGGAGGAUGUUGGCAAACGAUAUUUGAAUGAAUUACUGUCAAGGUGCCUCAUCCAAAUGGAGCAGGAUUUUUGGUUGUAUUUUACAUUCAAAAUGCAUGAUCUGGUACAUGAUCUUGCAUUAGAUGUGUCUCAAAAAGAAUGUAAAACAGUGAAUUCGGAAACAGAAACGGUUGAUGAAAAUGUUCGACAUUUAUUAUUCUGUGAUGAGAAGUUGGUUGGAGUUCCACGUGUUUUGGAGGAAAUGAAAAAUGUUCGAACAGUAAUCAUCCAAGAUGCUUCAAAGGAAUCAAAGACUACUCAUGAAUCACUUAUAAAUCUGUGUCUCUCCAACUUCAAGUAUCUUCGAGCAUUAGAAUUAAGGAAGUCACCAUUGAUGGCUUUACCAAAUUCCAUUGGUACCUUGAAGCACUUACGAGACCUUGACUUGGUCGGAUGUAGGAGUCUACGUGAACUCCCGAGGUCUUUCGAUAAGCUUCGCAGCUUGCAAUCGUUAAAUUUGGGAGAUACUGGUUUGAAGCAGUUGCCUGACAGCGUGCAAAGGUUGAUUGAGCUUAGACAUCUAGAAAUAACCAUUAAAGCUACGCAUUUGAAAGAAAUACGAGCAGGAUGUUGGACUUCUCUUCAAUACUUGGAAUUGAGGUGGUGUAUGGAAUUAGAAUGUUUACCUGAAGGAAUGCAGUAUCUGAAGUCACUUCGGACACUUGUCCUGAAGCACUGUGAUAGUCUUGUCUCAUUGCCACGGAGCCUGAAAUUCCUAACCAAGUUAGAACACCUUUAUAUAAAAUUUUGCAGUAGUAUGAAUUUGAAAAUGGAACCAGAAGAGGAAGAAGACAAAGACCUUCAGUUGAGCCUUAAAACUCUCACACUCUUCGGAUCACAUGCCUUAAGAGAUUUGCCACGAUUGCUUCUUCAAGGAUCUUCUUCCACUUUGCAGCAAUUACGAAUUGCGUUUUGUCCAGACUUGUCCGCUCUACCAGCAUGGCUACUGAAUCUCACUUCUCUUCAAAAACUUGAGAUUAAGGGUUGCUUUAAUUUGUGGGAUCUACCGGAGGGAAUAGACCGCUUCACCAACCUUAGAGAAUUGACAAUUGACGGAUGUCCGGAGUUAUGCAAAAGAUACAGAGAAAAUGGGGGUGAAGAUUGGCACGAAAUUGCUCACAUCCAAAAGGUUGAUAUUUACGAAUGAAGAAUGAGGUAUGUGGUAAAAUUUUAAUUUCUCUAUCAGAUUUGAUUUCAUAGUAUCUUCCCCUUUUAUAUGUUUAAUGUUCGUGAAGUACUCAUUGUGUUUGGAAACAUUGCAUGUAUGAAAUGUGAAGAUGG
rnacentral:lncRNA from 1 species